ACCGCCGACCACCCACCCUCUCCUCCUCUCCCCCGCCUACCUAGGCGCCAGAUCCACCAGUCCAGGCGGCCGCCAUGGCGUUCCCCCUCCUCCUCCUCUGCUGAGAAAGGUUAGGGUUUGUGGUCGGAGCGGACAAGAGCCGGCCGGCGCGGGACCUGACCUGACCAAGGAGGAGGAGAAGAAGGGCCACCGGGAGGCCCUCCUGCCUCCAGACUCCCUCGCGCGCGCCGCGGUCGAGCUGGGCAACGGCGAACGUCCGCUUCCACGAGCACGCGUCGGGAGCUCCUCCUCAACCACGCCGCUGCAGCCAUGGAGUUGGCCAAGGUAGAGGAGGAGCACGCAGCACCAGCUCCAGGCCAAUCAAUUUGAUUUUGAUUUGGUGCUGCCCAAGCCCAGGGCCCUCGAUUUGAUUUGGUGCAGCCCAAUCAAGCUAUGGCCUUGCUUGUCUCUUGAAAAUCGCUCAAACUGAACCACCUGUAAUCAUCUUUCUUUCAUGACAACUCAUCAUUCCCCUGCCCUGGAGGAGUGGAAGGUUUGCCACUCACUCAUGGACACUUAGCUGAACCUGAACCUGUUUUUUUUCUUUCUUUCGAUUCGAGGUAUUCCCUUGUUGAUUCCUUCUGCUGGGCAUGCUAGAUUAUUAAUUGGGUGCAGCAGCAAACCCUCAUCCUUGUUUUGAUUUCCUUGCUGUCAAAUUCAUCCUUUAGUGCUAGUACCAGUACAUCGAUUUGAUUGAGGAAAAACUCUGGCCUCUGCUUAAUAGUCAAAUUCCUCAAGCAAUGGAUCCACAACAUAUCAUAUUUUGUCUUUGCACAACGACGAUCCAUUGAAUGAUGUGACCUAUAUACAACACAUGUUGAGGGAGAGAGCUUCUGUUGCUUCUAUAUACAUGUAUGCUUAGUUAUUCAACAUUUUUCUUAUUCUUCUGUUCGAUUUGGUGCAGGAGGACGCCCGAGUUGACCAGGAGGAAACCUCCGUCCACCCCGACCACCACACAAGGAAACCUCUUUUACACCGGCCUGCGUGAGGAAACAACGUCAGUGGAGAAGAGCAACUGGAAACGAACCAAAACACAUAUUUAACAAUGCACAGAUAGGUAGGUACGGCUCAAUGGGCGGGAAACAGCAUGUAGUUCUUUAAUAAAAACACACAUCUUACAAUGCAAAGCACCAAAUGGUCUUUUGAAAUCCCACAGCCAAAGAUAUGAUUUUGAUCUUCUUGUCUAACAUGCAUGCAUGCGUGAGUAGGAGCUGACCCUAAUUAAGCCCAAGUUAGUACAGCUAGCGGUGAGAAAUGGCAAGCACUGAAUUCACGGCA